UACCAAAAACAUAGGUUUCUGCUAAGUCGCAAGACGAUGUAUAGGAGCUGACGCCUGCCCGGUGCUGGAAGGUUAAGGGGAUCUGUUAGAGUAAUCGAAGCAGUGAACUUAAGCCCCAGUAAACGGCGGCCGUAACUAUAACGGUCCUAAGGUAGCGAAAUUCCUUGUCGGGUAAGUUCCGACCCGCACGAAAGGCGUAACGAUUUGGGCACUGUCUCAACAACAGACUCGGUGAAAUUGUAAUUCCGGUGAAGAUGCCGGAUACCUGCGACAGGACGGAAAGACCCCAUGGAGCUUUACUGUAGCUUGACAUUGGGUCUUGGUACUACAUGUACAGGAUAGGUGGGAGGCUUUGAAACCAGGACGCCAGUUUUGGCGGAGCCAUCCUUGGGAUACCACCCUUGUAGUACUGGGACUCUAACCAUAGGCCAUGAAUCUGGUCUUGGGACACUGUCAGGUGGGCAGUUUGACUGGGGCGGUCGCCUCCCAAAAGGUAACGGAGGCGCUCAAAGGUUCUCUCAGUACGGUCGGAAAUCGUACGUAGAGUGUAAAGGCAAAAGAGAGCUUGAUUGCAAGACAUACAGGUCGAGCAAGGAUGAAAAUCGGACUUAGUGAUCCGGUGGUUCUGCGUGGAAGGGCCAUCGCUCAACGGAUAAAAGCUACCCUGGGGAUAACAGGCUUAUCUCCCCCAAGAGUCCACAUCGACGGGGAGGUUUGGCACCUCGAUGUCGGCUCAUCACAUCCUGGGGCUGUAGUAGGUCCCAAGGGUUGGGCUGUUCGCCCAUUAAAGUGGUACGCGAGCUGGGUUCAGAACGUCGUGAGACAGUUCGGUCCCUAUCCGUCGCAGGCGUAGGAAAUUUGAGAAGACCUGUCCUUAGUACGAGAGGACCGGGAUGGACG
rnacentral:rRNA from 1 species